rnacentral:pre_miRNA from 1 species
UUUAAACACAAUCAUGAGUUUUCGUGUUUAAUUUUGAUCGCUCGUUUUAUUUAUUUUUUUAUUGUUAUUAGAGGAUAAAACAUGAAUAGUACUUUAUGCUUGAUUUAUAUUUUUUUAGUUUUUUCUAAAUAAAACAUAUGAUUGAAGUUGGACACUGAAACCUAUGGUUGUGCUUACA